CUGCUAUUAUUUUUGUUGUUGAAGAAAGAGAAGUUGAUUUGUACCAAUUAUGGCAGACAUUCUGAUUUUGUUCAUAGUUUUCUGUCCUGAAGCUUAUUGAUUUAUGUAUCUGCUAUGAUUCUCAUAUUGGUAUGGUGAUUUUGUACUUUGCACAAAGUGUUUUGAAAAUGGAAACUAUGGGAAGAACAAAUUGAAGUUAGAUUUCAAGUAUAACAACCAGUACGUUGAAAAGAGUGGUAAUACUGGAGGUUUGAUCUUGGAAUUUCAAGAUGCUGGCCAAUUUUGUUCAUAGAAUGAAUGGACCAACACCUUUGUGAGUGUAGUACUCUUGCUGCCUGCCAGGACUCCACCAUGCUUAAGCAAAUUCUAAGCAAAUUCACCUCGCAAGCCAAAAUCUGUCACUACAUUCCACUGGGAGUGAUUCUGGCAACAAUAGUCCUAAUUUGGGCAGUGGUUUCCAAUGAACAAUUGGUGGGAGUUCUCUUGCAAGCAAAUUAAAUGUUGUCAAACGGGUGUCUUCAGUUGUUUUCCCAGCAAGCAUUUCAGUUGGAGCAGAGGUAGUGGAGCCUCAUCUGUCUUUCAAAGAGGUUUCAAAUUCACAGAAGCAGAAUCUGUUUAUCAGUAAGUUGAAAGUUUGCUGCGAGAUCAUUGAUUCUAUCGAUCUAGUUAAGCAAGAUCUUAAGCGUGAAACAUUGAUUGAGCUGCAGGUCGCACCAUAUAAGGGAAGGAAGGGUGAGUCAAAUUGGGGUCUUAACACAUCUAGAGAAUUACAAGUACUCAAUCAUAUCUGCAAUCUUGAAGAACAGCAUGCAUCUAAUAUAUCAUUGGUAAAAGCACCGAAACGGAUCAUUCUAAGGCUAUAAUUCAAGAGUUGGUGCAUGAAAAGCAAUGGGAUAGGCAAGAAAUGGAUGACUUGACGAAGCAAGUUUUAGACAAAAGCCGACUCAAAACUGCUGUUUAGUUGGUCAGGGAGUG